GACGAACGCUGGCGGCGUGCCUAAUACAUGCAAGUCGAGCGAAUCGACAGGAGCUUGCUCCUGUUGGUUAGCGGCGGACGGGUGAGUAACACGUGGGCAACCUGCCUGUAAGACUGGGAUAACACCGGGAAACCGGUGCUAAUACCGGAUAAUCCUUUCCCUCUCAUGAGGGGAAGUUGAAAGUCGGUUUCGGCUGACACUUACAGAUGGGCCCGCGGCGCAUUAGCUAGUUGGUGGGGUAACGGCUCACCAAGGCGACGAUGGGUAGCCGACCUGAGAGGGUGAUCGGCCACACUGGGACGGAGACACGGCCCAGACUCCUACGGGAGGCAGCAGUAGGGAAUCUUCCACAAUGGACGAAAGUCUGAUGGAGCAACGCCGCGUGGGCGAUGAAGGCCUUCGGGUCGUAAAGCUCUGUUGUUAGGGAAGAACAAGUAUCGGAGUAACUGCCGGUACCUUGACGGUACCUAACCAGAAAGCCACGGCUAACUACGUGCCAGCCGCCGCCGUAAAAC
rnacentral:rRNA from 1 species